AUCCAGUUGACAAGUCCCAAAUAGAACGAAAUGCUUGUUCUGGAU
rnacentral:hammerhead_ribozyme from 1 species